UGGAACUGUAUCUCCCUGGUGCUGACCCUA
rnacentral:piRNA from 1 species